rnacentral:tRNA from 1 species
UGGUGGAAACUAGGAAACACCCUGGACUUUGAAUUCAGUAACGCGAGUUCAAAUCUCGC